AGAAGAGAGUGUUGGUUCAAAAGAGGAAAGGAAAAGCUCAGGGCAGUAAAUCACGUUUUGGCCAGGAAAACAAACCCUGGAACUGAAGGAUGGAGAAGUGGCCACAAGCUUCACUGGCGAUCUUAUGGCUUCAACUGAGCUGGGUGUACAGUGAUGACAAGGUGAUACAGAGCCCCCCAUCUCUGGCUGUCCAUGAGGGAGACAGUGCAACUCUCAAUUGCAGUUACGAAACAACCGGCUUUCAAGGCCUAUUUUGGUAUAAACAGGAAGAGAAAACUCUCACAUUUCUGUUUAGGCUAAUUACAGCUGGGAUGGACUUAGGAAGAAUAAAAGGCACAUUAGACAAGAAAGAACGUCUCAGCACCCUGCAUAUCACAACCACCCAGCCCGGAGACUCAGCCACCUACUUCUGUGCAGUGCAGGCACAGUGCUCUCCAGGCACCUGCAGCCUGUACACAAAUGCUACAGCUGAGCAUCCUGCCACUGUUAGAUGGAGGACUGGCUAAAUUGGGCAUGCCCUCAGAAAUAAGCUGUAAGGAAAAGCAACUAUCAACCAAGAUCUCGUGCCUCUCUUCACAAUUACUGAUGCAGUUUACUGCCCCCAGCUCAGACUGAG